CCUACUGCUUUGAAUCUCAACUUAAAAACGUGUGUGUUAUAUUUUACACAGGCUCCUUGGUUGUCACUGUGACCCUCUGGCUUGUACACCACCACAAAAUUUCAGUCACAGAACUGAAGGAUUGCUGGACAUUUUUCUUUUUAGAAUAAACAGAAAGCACUAAAUGCAAGCAAGAGGGCUACAGCAACAAGAAAAUUUCAUUGUAAUAAAUACCACAUGUGAUCACGAUUUACGAAGCAGACAAUAAAGAGUAAUUUAAAAAGAGAAAUCCUUCUAUUCUCUUUCAUGUGGCUAAAGGCAGCAUAAUUUUUGGCUGUCUUUACUAGAGAUUUACUCAAAGAUUUAACACCCCCUUCUGUUUUUCUUCUCCUGGAAGCUCAGAGGAGGACACUUUAUUAACUUGCUAUUCUUUAGAUUCACAUCUGACCUCUGAUUUCUUUUAUCAUGGAGAUAGUUGAGAGAAGGUAGCAGAGUGUAACCAAUUCCAAGGCAUCUGUUUAUAAAUUAGUGGUGCUGGUGAUGUCUGGAUCUUAGUACUGCAAAGUCCUCCUUGAAACCACUCCUUGUUCAUUCUUCCCAGAGCAUCCCAGGAGAAAGGAUUUUACCACUAAAACCUUGGGAAGAAAGGAACCCUCUUCCCCAUUGCAAAGCUGGUAUUGUUUGGGAUACCCUGCUGGGCUUCUGAAGAGAAGUGAUGACAGACGCCCUGUGACAGACGUAAAAUCCAGCUCUGGAAUCCCAACAGCAAAUCCAGCGUGUGAGCAAAGGCUGCUCUGGCUUGUGUGGGUCUUCAUGGUCGCCUGCCAGUUUCAAACCAGGCUGUGUCAGUGGAGAACUGUAAAUGCUUCUUGGGAGAACUGGCUGCUCUGAAGAACUGAAAUGGGGAACAUAACUUACAACUCUGAAAUGGGCAGUGCAGUUCCUGGAGAAACAAUGAUUGCAACACAGGCAUAUGGAGAUCUCAGCUGUAAAACCCUGUAAGGCAGAUAAGCCACCAGGGAUUCUCUUGUACCAUACUGGGAAGAUUCCUGGUCCUCAGUACAGAUGUGAGACAUGCAGUGAGAAAGA